AUACGUAGGGUGCGAGCGUUGUCCGGAAUUACUGGGCGUAAAGAGCUCGUAGGUGGUUUGUCGCGUCGUCUGUGAAAUUCCGGGGCUUAACUCCGGGCGUGCAGGCGAUACGGGCAUAACUUGAGUACUGUAGGGGAGACUGGAAUUCCUGGUGUAGCGGUGAAUUGCGCAGAUAUCAGGAGGAACACCGGUGGCGAAGGCGGGUCUCUGGGCAGUAACUGACGCUGAGGAGCGAAAGCAUGGGUAGCGAACAGGAUUAGAUACCCUGGUAGUCCAUGCCGUAAACGGUGGGCGCUAGGUGUAGGGGUCUUCCACGACUUCUGUGCCGUAGCUAACGCAUUAAGCGCCCCGCCUGGGGAGUACGGCCGCAAGGCUAAAACUCAAAUGAAUUGACGGGG
rnacentral:rRNA from 1 species